AGUCCUACUAUUCUUUUGUCAUCAUCUCCUGCAUUUGGAUCUGAAUGCACUGCUCAGCUUGUGAAGGGGUUGGUGUCUUGGAGUCAAGCACUACAUUAACAGACCAAAAUCUUCCUCAAAGGUUCCCUCAUUGUACUGAAGAGGGUAAACAUGUUGGAAGUCUCUUUUUCCCCUGCCAUUCCACCAUCUGCGAUCAGGACAAACUCCAAUGGGUUUGCUUUUUUGUUCACACAGGAUGUGUAUAAUCAACGUUGAUUGAGAGCCCUGAGCAGCAGUGUGUGGUGUUCGGUUGAUGGUGUGUAUGCAGUGG